rnacentral:sRNA from 1 species
AUUGGGUAUGGUGGUGUAUACCUGUAAUUCUAGCUACUUGGAGGCUGAGGCAGGAGGAUUGCAGGAUUGCAAGUUUGAGGCCAGACUCAGCAACUUAGUGAUAUCCUGUCUAAG